rnacentral:lncRNA from 1 species
AGUGAUUUAGCAGAUUUGGAUUCAUAUAUAUAUCCACCCAUGUGGUACUUCAUUCUACGAUAUAUAAGAUCCAUAUGUAUAGAUAUCAUUAUCUACAUCCAGAAAGCCGUAUGCUUUGGAAUAAGCUCUUACAGUUUGGGAAGAGGUUUUGAUUGAUCAAAAGAAGAAUCUACUUCAACCGAUAUGCCCUUAGGCACUUCCAUACAUAACAUAGAAAUCACACUUGGAAAGGGUGGACAAUUAGCUAGAGCAGCGGGCGCUGUAGCGAAACUGAUUGCAAAAGAGGGGAAAUAGGCCACAUUAAAAUUACCUUCUGGGGAGGUCCGUUUGAUAUCCAAAAAAUUCUUAGCAACAGUCGGACAAGUGGGGAAUGUUGGGGUGAACCAGAAAAGUUUGGAUAGAGCCGGAUCUAAGCGUUGGCUAGGUAAGCGUCCUGUAGUAAGAGGAGUAGUUAUGAACCCUGUAGACCAUCCCCCAUGGGGGUGGUUAAGGGAGAUCCCCAAUUGGUAGAAGAAAACCCACAACCCCUUGGGGUUAUCCUGCACAUGGUAGAAGAAGUAGAAAAAGGAAUAAAUAUAGUGAUAAUUUGAUUUUUCAUCGCCGUAGUAAAUAGUAGAGAAAAUCGAAUUUAGUUCUUUAUUUUUACAAAAACUUUACAAAAAAAAAAAUAGGAGUAAGCUUGUGACACGUUCACUAAAAAACAAUCCUUUGUAGCCAAUCAUUUAUUAAAAAAAAUUGAUAUGAUAUUAUGGGAUGGGUAUGGGCGAACGACGGGAAUUGAACCCGCGCAUGGUGGAUUCACAAUCCACUGCCUUGAUCCACUUGGCUACAUCCGCCCCCUCGCUUACUUGCAUUCCAAUUUUACAUUAUUUAAAUUAGAAAACAAAAGAUUCAAGUUCGAAUAUUUCUCUUCUUUCUUAUUUGAAUGAUAUUAUUAUUUCAAAGAUAAGAAUAUGAAUCAAAGAUCAGAAUCUGAAGUAAAAAUUAAUUUUUUUUUUGAAAUGAAAUAAAAAAGAUAUAGUAACAAUAGCAAGAAGAGGACCAAGUUAUAUUUCUAUAAUUUUCAAUAAAUACAUACAAAAUGAAAAUAGAAUACUCAAUCCUGAAUAAAUGAUAAAUGCAUGCAAAUAUCCUCUCUUUCUUUUUCUAUAAUGUAAACAAAAAAGUAUAUGUAAGUAAAAUACUAGUAAAUUACUAAAUAAAAUAAAAAGAAAAAAAGAAAGGAGCAAUAGCACCCUCUUGAUAAAACAAGAAAAUGAUUAUUGCUCCUUUCUUUUCAAAACCUCCUAUAGACUAGACUGGGAUCUUAUCCAUUUGUAGAUGGAGCUUCGAUAGCAGCUAAGUCUAGAGGGAAGUUAUGAGCAUUAUGUUCAUGCAUAACUUCCAUACCAAGGUUAGCACGGUUAAUGAUAUUUGCCCAAGUGUUAAUUACACGACCUUGACAGUCAACUACAGAUUGGUUGAAAUUGAAACCAUUUAGGUUGAAAGCCAUAGUGUUGAUACCUAAAGCGAUAAACCAAAUACCUACUACAGGCCUGGCAGCUAGGAAGAAGUGUAACAAACUAGAGUUGUUGAAGCUAGCAUAUUGGAAGAUCAAUCGGCCAAAAUAAGCAUGAGCGGCUACGCUAUUGUAAGUUUCUUCCUCUUGAACGAAUAUGUAACCUUCAUUAGCAGAUUCAUUUUCUGUGGUUUCCCUGAUCAAACUAGAAGUUACCAAGGAACCAUGCAUAGCACUGAAUAGGGAGCUGCCGAAUACACCCGCUACGCUUAACAUAUGAAAUUGGUGCAUAAGGAUGUUGUACUCAGCCUAGAAUACAACAUGAAAUUGAAAGUACCAGAGAUUCAUAGAGACAUACCAUCAGAAAAACUUCCUUGACCGAUUGGGUAGAUCAAGAAAACUAUGGUAGCAGCUGUAAUAGGAGUUGAAUAUGGAACAGCAAUCCAAGGUCGCAUACCCAGACGAAAACUAAGCUCCCACUCGUGACCCAUGUAACAAGCUACACCAAGUAAGAAGUGUAGAACAAUUAGUUCAUAAAGAUCACCAUUGUAUAACCAUUCAUCAACGGAUGUUGCUUCCUAGAUUGGGUAAAAAUGUAAACCUUUAGCUACAGAAGUAGGAAUAAUGGCACCGAAAAUAAUAUUGUUUCCAUAAAGUAGAGACCCUGAAACGGGUUCACGAAUACCAUCAAUAUCUACUGGAGGAGCAGCAAUGAAGGAAAUAAUAAAUACAGAAGUUGCCGUCAAUAAGGUAGGGAUAAUCAAAACACCAAACCAUCCAAUGUAAAGAUGAUUUUCAGUGCUAGUUACCCAGUUACAGAAGUGACCCCAUAGGCUUUCGCUUUUACGUCUCUCUAAAAUUGCAGUCAUGGUAAAAUCUUGGUUUAUUUAAUCAUCAGGGACUCCCAAGCACACGAGUUUUCUACAAAUAAAAAUAGAAAAUGGAAGGCUUGUUAUUCAACAGUAUAACAUGACUUAUAUACUCGUGUCAACCAAGGUGUAUGUGGAUCUAUUCAAGUUUUUAAUGAAGUUGAUUGGAAAAAUAGGGACUUCUCUACAGAGAAUUAUAAUUUUGAUAUAAUAGUGGGUUACCCGGGAUUCGAACCCGGAACUAGUCGGAUGGAGUAUAUAAGUUCCUUGUUAAAUAAAAUAAAUGUUAAUCUUAAAUUAAAUAAACAAGUAAAGAUUCCUCCCCAAGCCGUGCUUGCACUUUUCAAUGCACACGGCUUUCCCUAUGUAUACAUCAUCUUUUAGAAAAUCAAAGAAUGAAUCACUGAUAAUUCGCCAGAUCGUUGAUAGAAAAAAUAUCCAAAUACCAAAUCCAACUUCUAUAUACUACCCACAAACUAGACGAAGCUCGUGGGAAGGUCAAAGAAAGAACUUGUUCUUCUGACAUUAAGAAUUCUUCCAAUAAUUCCGAGCCCGAUCUUUUCAAAAAAGUGCGUACAGUACUUUUGUGUUUCCGAGCUAAAGUUCUAGCACAAGAAAGUCGAAGUAUAUACUUUAUUCGAUAUAAAGUCGUUUUUUUGGAAGAUCCGCUAAAAUAAUGAAAAAGAUUUCUGCAUAUACGCCCCAAUCGGUCAAUAAUAUCAGAAUCUGAUAAAUCGGACCAAACCGGUUUACUAAUGGGAUGUCCUAAUACGGUACAAAAGUGUGCUUUAGCUAAUGAUCCAAUCAAAGGAAUAAUUGGAACAAGGGUAUCGAACUUUUUAAUUGCAUUAUUUAUUAGAAAUGAAUUUUCUAACAUUUGACUACGUACCGUUGAAUGAUUUAGUCGCACACUUGAAAGAUAGCCCAUAAAGUCACGGGAAUGGUUGGAUAAUUGGUUUAUAUGGAUCUUUCCUGUGUGAAAGCACAGAGAAAAAUGACAUUUCCAAAAAUUGACAAGAUAAAAUUUCCAUUUAUUCAUCAAAAGAAACGUCCCAUUUGAAGCCAGAAUUGAUUUCCCUGAUACCUAACAUAAUGUAUGAAAGGAUCCUUGAAUAACCAUAAGGUAACCUGAAAAUCCUUAACAAAUACUUCUACAAGACGUUCUAUUUUUUCAUAAAAAUAUAUUUGUUUAAGAAGGGCUCCAAAAGAUGUUGAUCGUAAAUGAAAAGAUUGGUUCUGUAGAAAGACGAAAGUGGAUUCUCAUUAAUAUACAUAAAAAUUAUAUAAAAAGAAGAAGAAUCUUUGAUUUUUUUUUUUUGAAAAGCAGUAAUCGGGCUUCUUUGAAGUAAUAAGACUACUCAAAUUCCAAUAUUCGUGGAGAAAGAAUCGUAAUAAAUGUAAAGAAGAGGCAUCUUUUACCCAAUAGCGAAGAGUUUGAACCAAGAUUUCCACAUAAACAGGGUAGGGUAUUAGUAUAUCUAAUACAUAAUUUAGAUGUGAAAAAUUAUCCUCUAAAAAAGGAAAUGUUGAAUGAAUUGAUCGUAAAUUAUAAGAUUUUAAAAUCUUUUUGCCUUCAAAAAAAGAUAAAUAAGAUAUUAAUCGCAGAGAAAACGGAAUUUCCACAAUAAAUUCAAAUCCCUCUGAUAUCAUUUGAGAAUACAAACUCUUAUUGCACUUCAAAAAUGGAUUUUUGUUAGAAUCAUUAGUAGAAAUAAGAAAAUAAUUCUGUUGAUACAUUUGAGUAAUUAAACGUUUCACAAUUAGGAAACUAAAUUUAUUGUUAUAACCCGGAUUUUCCAACAAAAUUGACCUAUUUCUAUUUAAACCAUGAUCAUGAGCAAGUGCAUAAAUAUACUCCUGAAAGAUAAGUGGAUAUAGGAAGUUGUGUUGUUGCGAGCUAUCUAGCUGUAAAUAUCUUUGGAUUUCUUCCAUUUGAAAUUCGAUUUGAACCAAAGAUGGAAGAUUUUUAGGGUUAUCAAAUGAUACAUAGUGCGAUACAGUUAAAACAAAGCAUUAUAGUAAUAAUAGAUACCUUGGAUACAGGUAAACUUCUCAACGGAUUCUCUAUCAUCUCUUUUUUUUUGUUUCAGUUAAUUGGUCUAUGUUAUAGUAUUAUAGGAUAAUAAGAUGGUUAGAAAUCCUUUAUUUUUUCAACCUAAUCGCUCUUUUGACUUCGGAAAAAACUUUCUUUAUCAAUAUACUGUUUCUUCUACACACACAUCUCCAUAAUCGAAAAUGUUAAUAGUUAGGAUUCAUUAAAAAAAUCGAGAAUCCACUCAUGGGACAAGAAACCCUUCCCGCAUCAGGCACUAAUAAAUUUUUAACGUCUAAUUAGAUCGGGAAUCAUUCAAAUUAAGAACAAAAGCUCGUUGCUUUUUCUUUCCCGAUAAUUUAAUUGAAGCCGCAGCUCUAUCCAUUUAUUCAUUCGACCCAACUUUAUUUUGUUCCGUUCCAAGAAUUCUAACACGGUUUUAUACCCAUCUAGGAACAAUGAAAUAUUUUCAGAACUUUCCGUUGAUACGACAUGCUAUUUUUACCAUUCAUUCCCUUUCAGGAUCAGUCGUGGUCUUCCAAACUUUACCGAGAGUAUGGACGAAUCCCUCACUUCAUCCAUAUGUGUAAAAGACACUAGCCGCACUUAAAAGCCGAGUACUCUACCGUUGAGUUAGCAACCCGAAGAAAAUAUCGAAAAAAUGGUGUAGAUCCAAUCCGAAGAAAAAGAAAUAAAGAGAUUAGACAAGACAACCCAAAACCAUUGAAAGAAGAAAUCUAAAAAAAUAAAUUCACACUUUCUAAUUAAUUUAAAAGAUAAAAUAAAACUAAAUAGAUCCACUUCAUUUAUCAAUUUAUCACAAUGAAUUAUAUUUGUUCGAUACACUGUUGUCAAUAUGAAUAUUAAAAAAAAAAUAAAAGAAAUUUCAAUUGAAAAUAAUAAAAAAAAAAAAGGACUUGUGUUGGAUUGGCACUACAAAUAUAACCAAACCAAAUAAAAUCGAUAGAAAAAAGUAUAGAUGACAGAAUAAAUAAAGAAUAAGUGAAAAACAAAACUACAAUUUACUUAGAUUUAUUGAAUCCAUAAUGGAUUCAAUCAAGUUAAGUGAUAAAAGAAAACUUGAUUUCUUUGUUAGCUUUAGUAGAGUUCCAAUGAAAAACGGAAAACCAACCGAAAUGCCCGAAUUUAUUAUUUCUAAGAUCAAUAAAAUAAGAGGUUUUGUCGUUAUAGAACAUGGAAUUCGAUGGAAGCAAUGAUAAAUAAAUACAAAUAGAAAAGGAAAGGGAGGAAAUACAAAAAAAUAGAAGAGAAAAGUCAUACAAAGUUAUAUACAAAUCACUACCCCCCCUUUUUUGUAUUUCCUUAAUUUAUUUCCUUAAUUGAAUUUUGGUUGAUUAGGACGAAGUUCCUUAAAAACCUCCGCCUUCUUUAAAAUAUCCUGAACAGUUCCUGUAGGUUGAGCCCCCUUUUCAAGGAAAUAUAAAAUAGCAGGAACAUUUAAAUAAGUUUGAUUCUUUAUCGGAUCAUAAAAAGCCACUUUCCGAAGAUCUUUUCCUUCUCUUCGGGAUCGAACAUCAAUUGCAAUGAUUCUAUAGACGGCUCAUUGGGAUAGAUUUAGAUGAGCAACACCACCUAAAAAUGUAUAGAAAGCUAUGUCCUCGUACGGAUCGAGAAAAUGAUUGAUUCGGGGUUUUCGUUUUGUCUCUGUAUGUAUGGAAUUUAUUUAAGAAAUGACAAUUGGGUCCAUAAAAUGAUCAAAUGAAUUAAAGUUGUAAGUCCUUUUUUUUUCUUAUUUCUUCCUAAUAAUGAAAAAAACCAUUCGUACUCUCAUAACUCAAGUUGGAUAACUUUCAAACAGUUCAAACGAAAAUCUUUCGGUAAUUUCAUUUAUUGAGCGGUCUUUCCACGUUUUUGGUUUGUCUCGUCUAAAAUCGGAUUCUUCAGCCUGAUCCAGUUAUUAAGACAAUUAAAAGGUGUUUCCUUGUUCUGGGAUCCUUUAUCUUUAUUUUAUUUUAAAUCAUUGGAUUUAGACAUUACUUUGGUGCUUUUUAAUCCUUUCAAAAUGGCAGCAACAUACCCUUUUUGGGAUUUCUAGGAAAGAAUUCUAGAAGACGAUGGAUUCCCUCGUGAAACACUUUGGAUCGAAAAAUUUUGAUCAAUUCAAAGAAAUUUUGGAAUUUUUAACUUGAUCGAAUUGGAUUCUUUCGAUUUCCACGACGAAGAUAUAUUUACGAAGUUAUUUCAUUUUUUUUAUUGAUUGGCAUUAAUCCUAGAUCCCUGCCCCAAGAAAUAAAUUAAUACUUUCUACUCGAGCUCCAUCAUGGACUAUUUAUAUUCCAAGACAACAAAAAGUGAGGGGUUCUAGUGAAACAGAACCAAUGAUGUCGAGCCAAGAGCACCUUCAUUCCUACAUAAAAUGGUGGAUGUAAAAAUCCACAACGGAUCGUGUCCUUUAAGUCGCACGUUGCUUUCUACCGCAUCGUUUCAAACGAAGUUUUGCCAUAACAUUCUUCUAAGAACCAGUAUGGAAUUGACUCAAUUAUGAAAUCAUGAAUAGUCAUUGGUUGGGCUGAUGUAUAAACACCAUAAUCUAUAGUAUAGAGAUAUAAAGGGAUAUAAAUAAUACUAUAGAUAUAGGUGGAUAAAGAUUUUUCUGAAGAAGUCUCUUAGUAAGAGCCCAUCGCUAAUAUUAAUUUGUCUAACAUAUUAUAUUAAUUAAUACAUAUUAUAUUAAUUAAUAUAUUUAUUAAAUAUUUAUUAAAUUAUUUAUAUAAAUAUAUAAAUAAUAAAAUAUAUAAUAUAUAUAAAUAAUAAAAAAUAAGACGAAUAAAUGAAAUUUUUUUUAUUCAGCAUCUUCAUGUGACUUAAUAGGAGAGAAAGAUUCAGUUUAUAAGGAAUAAUUAAAACUAUUUCUCUUUCUAACUUUUGAAUAAAUUUAGAAAGUUCUCUUUCCGACAUCACAUCAUUAUUCAAAGAAAAUUUGAUAGUUAAAAAUAACUUUUGAUCAUCUUAGGAAAAAAGAUAAGUCUUUUUUUAAAGUGAAUCAUCAACGAUUUAAAUGAUUUACAUUUAAUGAUUUACAAUAGAUAAAUACACCAAAAAGCAAAUACAAUUUUAUUUAUGAGUUAUGAGAUAGAUAAAAAAAAGAUUAAUGUCAGGUAAGGUUUGAAUUCUUAUUCUUUUUUUUCAUCUGAUUGAUAAAAUACAAAGAAUGGGGAGGUGUUUGUAUCUAUCAAUUCGAUCAAAUAGACUGAGAAAUUGUCACCCUUUAUAGAUAUUAAAAUGAAUGCCUUCUCAUUACUGAUUAACUCCUAUCCACCCCAUUUUAUGGGACAGAUGCAGCAUAAAUCAAAAGAAAAUAAGGGGGCGUCCUAGUUUUUUUUAUUUUUCCAAAAUGCGAGUUGUCUAGGCACAAAGCCAAACAAGUCCAGAUUAAGUCCUGUUUUUGCUCCUUUUUUUGCUAUUUUAGCCUAACUCAUUGAUUAAGAAUUAAGAGACUUAGUGAAUUUAAUUAGUACCAAAACCCCACUCUUGAUGAAAAGUAAAGAAAUCUACAAAAAAGAAAAUUAAAUCUAAUUAGUUUAAUUUAGGGGGUAGAAAAUACGAGAUAGGGAAUCUGGAUUCUUCCGCAUCUCGAUUCAGUUUUUGAAAAGAAAAAGAUUCAUCAAAAAAAAAAAUCAGAAACAACAAUCACUUUCCAUCUAACAUUUCGAUUUUAAACAGAACAUUGUUAAAAAAGCAAUCUAUAUACUCAUAGAAUAUAUAUGUUCUCGGAUGGAGGAUUCGAACCUCCGAAUAGUGGGAUCAAAACCUGUUGCCUUACCGCUUGGCCACACCCUAUUUAGAUAUCUAUCCGAUACUAAAAAAGUAUAUUGCUGGUUUUGUUUGUUUGUCAACUCUAGUUCAAAUAUCUAUAGAAUAGAUUAAAUUGGUACUGGGAUUUUGCUAUGUUUUUGGUAUGUGUAGAUAUAGAAUUCAACUUAAUUUAUUGAUCAUUACAUAUAAUUUCAUUAAGAUAUUGUAUGAAAAUAUGAUUUUUUUCAAUUCUCCUUUGAGAAAAGGAGGAUUUUUGAUUGGGUGGGUUCAAAGAAAAAGAAUGACUUUUUGUUUACCUUACUUACUUUUCUUUUCCUUAUAUCAAUAAAUCAAUCAAAAUGCAAUUAUCUCCAAGAACAAAAAGUCUGUUAUGCUUAAUACCUUUAGUUUGAUCGGUAUCUGUCUUAAUUUGACCCUUUAUUCGAGUAGUUUUUUCUUCGGCAAAUUGCCCGAGGCCUAUGCUUUUUCGAAUCCAAUCGUAGAUAUUAUGCCAGUCAUACCUCUGUUCUUUUUUCUCUUAGCCUUUGUUUGGCAAGCUGCUGUAAGUUUUCGAUGAGAUCCUUAAUAAUAUCCUAGAAAAUUCAUGAUUUAUUCGAGAAAAAAUUCUACAAUAAAUCAAAUCAGAUAAGCUUUACCAUUUGAAAUCUCGAUUCAAACAUUGAAAUUCUUGGAUAGUCACGAGAAAUCCGGCUUAACUUAUUUCCUUCUUUUUUUGCACUUUCCUUUCGAGUGAAAGACCUUAUUAGGCUCCUCUUGUGUAUAUAAAAAUUUGGUUAAUGACAAACUCUUAUUAGAAAAGAAUUUAGAAAAAUUCUUUUAGAGAAAGAGCUUCGUUGGUUGGUGUCAAACUAGGAUAUGCGGUAGAAAAAUGGAUGAUCUAUUCCCUUUUUUUUUUCAAAAAAAAAAUCAUCUUGGAGAUUGUAUAAUUCUUACUCUAAAACUCUUCGUUUACAUAGUAGUGAUAUUUUUUGUUUCUCUCUUCAUCUUUGGAUUCCUAUCUAAUGAUCCCGAUGUAAUCCUGGACGUGAAGGAUAAAAUAAAAAUGUUUUUCGUUUCUUGAUUUUCAAAUUUUCUUAGAAUUUGGUUUAUUCCACACAUUUAACUAAGAAUAAGAACAAAGGAUUUCGAAAUUUGAAAAAAAAAAUCAAGUCAUCAACGGAAAGAGAGGGAUUCGAACCCUCGGUACGAUUAACUCGUACAACGGAUUAGCAAUCCGCCGCUUUAGUCCACUCAUCCAUCUCUCCCAAUUGAAAAAGAUAAUUACUACAUGAGAUAGCACAUAAGAUAAGGGAAAGAAUCUUUCUUUCUCUUUUUUUUUUUAUUUCUAUAUUAUAUAGAUAUGUACAACUUUUAUCAUCAAUUUCCUUUAUCUCUUUAUCUAAAGUAAAGGAAGGGCUCAGAAGAGCCAAGAAUAUCAAGAAAAAUGAAGAAGAACUCUUUUCUUUGUCUUGAUUUUGUUCGAAAGGACCCUCUUUUUCUCAUGUCCUGGUCUGGUUAGUACCCAGCCGGACCUCUUUUGUUCCAACAAAUUUGAAUUUAAAAACAAAAAUGCCUGUUAUAGUUGUAAUAUUUCAUUUUAAUUGAAUAGUUAAUAUUCAAGCAACAAGAAAAAAUUCCCAUUUUUUAUAAAGGUAAAAUAAAAUAUAUGCAAUAGAAAAUUUGAUCAAAAUAAAAGUCUCAUUUCUCUUUCUGCUUUUUGAUUUUAUGUUUACCGCCUUGCUGGACUAAAAAAAGAAGCUUUAGAGGCAUUUUUAUGUUAUGAUUUUAGUGGUUUUUAUGAUUUUAGUAGUUUUGACGAUCCUAUCUUAUCCUGUCUUAAUUACCACAAUUCCCCUGUUUGACAAAAGUUUCAUUUAUAUACAAUAAUCGGAUUGUAGCAGGUAUAGUUUAGUGGUAAAAGUGUGAUUCGUUCUCUUAUCCCUUAAAUAGUUAAAGGAUCCUUCGGUUUGAUUCAUAUUCCAAUCAAAAACUUUAUUUAUUAAAAAGAUUAAAUCCUUUUCCUCUCAAUGACAGAUUCGAGAACAAAUACACAUUCUCGUGAUUGGUAUCCAAAGGUCACUUAGACAUUGAAAAAUUGGAUUAUGAAAUUGCGAAACAUAAUUUUUGAAUUGGAUCAAUACUUCCAAUUGAAUAAGUAUCAAUAAAGGAUCCAUGGAUAAAGAUAGAAAGUUGAUUUCUAAUCGUAACUAAAUUUUCAAUUUCUUAUUUAUAAAGAAGAAAGUGAAGCAAAAUAGCUAUUAAAUGAUGACUUUGGUUUACUAGAGACAUCAACAUAUUGUUUUAGCUCGGUGGAAACAAACUCCUUUUCCUCAGGAUCCUAUUAAAAAGAAAUAGAGAAGGAAAUAACUAGAAAGGUUGUUAGAAUCCCCCUCUUCUAGAAGGAUCAUCUACAAAGAAAUUCUUUUUAUCUGUAUUCAGACCAAAAGAUGACAUAAAUGUUAUGGUUAGAAUUCUUUUUUUUUUCUAAUUUUGUUCACAUCUUAGAUCUUAUACAUUGACUCAUCUCCAUAAGGGAGCCGAAUGAAACCGAAGUUUCAUGUUUGGUUUUGAAUUAGAGACGUUAAAAAAUGAAUUGACGUCGACUAUAACCCCUAGCCUUCCAAGCUAACGAUGUGGGUUCGAUUCCCGCUACCCUCUCUAUAUCUAUUUAUUCUAAAUAUUUUAAUCUAUUCAUUAAAUCAAAUUUAGUUUAUUAGUAUUAGUACAACAUUGAAUAUACAAUUCAAAAAAUUAUUUCACAUCAGAUUCUUUCUAUUUUUUUUCAAACAAAAAGUUAAAAUAUGAAAAAAAAUCAGAAUGAAAAGUGUCCAUUGUCUAAUGGAUAGGACAGAGGUCUUCUAAACCUUUGGUAUAGGUUCAAAUCCUAUUGGACGCAAUUUAUUUCCAUAUACAUAUUUUUUUUAGAUUUCGAUAGCAAGAAAGGCUGUUUGAAUAUUUGAAUCCAGGAUGCUUAAUUCCUUUUUUUAUUAAGAUUAAGACAAGGGUGAUCAAUAUUUCUUUAUGCUUGUUCCUGAAGUAUAAAACGUUCCAUUUAUUCCUGAAUAGCUUCUUUCAAAAGAGCUUCUGCUUCCUCGGUAAAUUUCUUGGUAGGAGAUAUGAUUUCUUGGAACUGAGGUUUAUUAGUUUUUAAGUAAGUACGUAGCUCAACAAGAAAUUUCCUUACCUAUCCAACUUCUAAUGAAUUAAGAUAGCCGUUUGUUCCAGUAUAAAUAGUCAUUAUCUGCUCUGCUACCGGGAGACGAGCCGAUUGAGAUUGUUUAAGUAAUUCACGUAAUCGUUGACCUCUUGCCAAUUGAUUUUGAGUAGCUUUAUCGAGAUCAGAAGAAAGUUGUGCAAAGGCUUCUAAUUCUGCGAAUUGCGAUAGUUCUAAUUUUAAUUUACCAGCUACUUGUUUCAUGGCUUUUAUUUGAGCUGCGGACCCCACUCUGGAAACGGAGAUACCCACAUUAAUAGAAGGUCUGAUUCCAGAAUUUAAUAGGUCAGUGGAUAAGAAGAUUUGUCCAUCAGUAAUGGAAAUUACAUUAGUAGGAAUAUAAGCCAAAACAUCUCCCGAUUGAGUUUCAACUAUUGGUAAGGCGGUCAUACUUCUUUCACCUAAACUAGAACUUAAUUUAGCGGCUCUUUCCAAAAGGCGUGAAUGCAAAUAAAAAACAUCUCCUGGAUAAGCUUCAUGACCGGGCGGUCUUCGUAAUAGAAGAGACAUUUGGCGAUAAGCUUGCACUUGUUUGGAGAGAUCUCAUAAAUGAUUAAAGUGUGUCGUUCAGGAUACAUAAAAUAUUCAGCCAGAGCUGCUCCUGUAUAAGGAGCAAGGUAUUAUAAUGUAGCAGGGGAAUCCACCAUUUCGAUUACCACAAUAGUGUAUUCCAUCGCUCCCCUUCCCUAUAAAGUCAUUACUACCUGGGCCACAGAAGACGUUUUUUGACCAAUAGCUACAUAAACACAUAUUACAUUUUGACCUUGUUGAUUAAGAAUGGCGUCUGUGGCUACUGCUAUUUUAUCGGUCUGUCUGUCCCCAAUAAUUAAUUCUCACUGACCACGUCCUAUAGGGAUAAUCGAAUCAAUAGCAAUAAGCCUGGUUUGAAGAGGCUCAUAUACAGAACGACGCAAAAUAAUACCCGGGGCGGCAGAUUCAAUUAAUCAAAAUUUAGAAGCUAAAAUUUCACCUCUACCAUCAAUAGGUUUAGCCAGGGCAUUUACAACACGACCCAAAUAAGCCUCACUCACGGGUAUCUGAGCAAUUCUUCCCAUUUUUUUUACAGAAUUUCUUUCUUGUAUCAGCAAACCAUCGCCCAUUAGUACAACACCAACGUUAUUUGAUUCCAAAUUCAGAGCAAUGCCUAUUGUACCCUCUUCAAAUUCUACUAAUUCACCCGCCAUUACUUCAUCAAGACCGUAAAUAUGAGCAAUGCCACCACCUACUUGAAGUAUGGUACUGGUAUUUACAAUCUUUACUUCUAUAUUAUAUUGUUCAAUACGUUCACGGAUAAUAUUACUAAUUUCGUCAGCUCGAAUGGUUACCAUGAUUCUUUCUUAUUUUUUUUUUGAAAGAAAAAAAUAAUACCUACAACAGAAAGACUAAUCAGUUAUUUCUUUAAUUGUUCCCAACAUGCCAAUAUUGGCACUAAUGGUACGUAAAUGUAACUCGUUGUUCAAAAAACUAUUUAGAGUUCCUAGAGCUCCUCGUAAGGCUUGUUGGAAAACCCGUUGUCAGACUUGAUUAAUCACCCUUUGCUGUUCAAACUGAAUCAUUUCAUUUUUGUAAUUUUCUAAUUCUUCCAAAGUCUUAUAAGUUGAAUUAAUCAAAGUCAAUUUUUCUCGUUCUAUCUCUGAGUUUCCAUUCACUCGAAACUGCUCGACUUUUGUUUCUACUUUCCGUAAGCAAGAACGAGCUUUUUAGAGUUGUUCAAUAGCCCCUCCACGCAGUUAUUUUGAAUUUUGAAUAGUAUUCAAGAUCCUCUAUUUUUGAUUAUCUAAUAAAUCACUUAAUGAAAGUAGAUUAUUUUUCUAUUCCUUUUCAAAAUUCCAUAAUCCCUUCCCUAACCAAACAUGAAUCUUUCGAUUCAUUUGGCUCUCACACUCAAUUACUUAAGUUAAAUUCUCAUAUGUUUUUUUAUGAAUGUAAUGAGCCUAUCUUCUCUUCUUUGUUGAUAUUCCAAAAAGAUAUCAAAACUAAUGUAAGACCAAAAUAUUCGGAGGACUCUUCUGACAAAAUAAAAAAUAUGUAAUUGUCAGCAAAGUUGUUUCUUUUUUUUUUUUUCAAAUCCAAAAAGCCCUUCUUACUUAGAAUAGGUCAUUGAUUCAGCAUUAGAUAAAGGGGGUAAAAUCCCCGCUUUUACAAUUUACAAUAAGCGGUUAAAAUAAUUUUCUCAAUAUGAGUAUCCUAUAUCGAUAAAAUAUUUAUUUUGAAACCACCUCUAUAUUAACAUAGUGGUAGAAAGAGUACCAUGCUGUGUCUAGACUUCAAAAAGUUUGUUUUAACCAUGUUAAUAGUUCCGCAUUAUUGGUUAAUAGAUAAUCAAAAUCGAUAUACCAAUGAAUCACGAAAUGCUAUGGUUCUUACAUAUAAUUUCUGAAUUUAUACAGAAGUAAUUUGCGAGAUCAUGCACCUCUCUUUCCUACUUAUAACGGAAAAGGGUACAACUAGUUGGUCCAGCCUAUUCUUGAAAUAAACAACCCGCACACACUCCUUUUCCAAAAAAAAUCAAUACACCAAGCACUACACUUAGAUUUAUUGGAUUUGUUGCUAAAAUAUCGGUGGUAAACCUGAAGCUCCUGGCAGAUGGCCAGUGGCCCAAAGAAAAGAAAGAAUCGGUUACGUUUCUCAUAUGAUCUCCUCUUAUAGAUAGACUAAAAAAUCGAACAGAGUUUUUUUGUAGCACUUCGCCCCUCUUUUUAUUUAUUCUUUUAUUUUUUCUGAAAUUGAGUAAAAAAAUAAAAACUAUUCGAGUUAGUUAAAAAUUAUGAACUAAUGAACUAGCCCUUUUAUUGUUUAUUAGAACACUAAAACUUUUUCCCUUAGUCUAUGAAUGGGAAGGGUGAAAGCGAGUCAUUAUGCUAAUUCCUCAUCCGUAAAUCUGCCCUUUCCAUAGGUUCUUUUCUCAAAGAAUAAAGAAUUGGAGGAGGAAAAUUUUGAUAGAAUUUGAAAAAUAAAACAACAAGUGGAAGGCAAUAAAUAUGAAAAAUAUAUUUAUUUUUCAUAUUUCUAAGCUAAGAUUAAACAAAAGGAUAUGCAAAUAAAAGUGUUAAUGCUACAAACAGUCCAUAAAUUGUUAAAGCUUCCAUAAAAGCUAGACUAAGUAAUAGCGUACCUCAUAUUUUUCCCUUUUCCUCAGGAUGUCUCACGAUAACCUCUACAGCUUGACCCGCGACAGUCCCUUGACCAACUCCAGGUCCAAUAGAAGCAAGCCCUAUGGCCAAUCCAGCAGCAAUAACGGAAACGGCAGAAAUCAGUGGAUUCAUGAUAAGUUCCUCGUACCAAAAAAAAAGAAAUGGUUGAUGAUACAAUCAACAAAUGAAUUAUGAAUUAAUUAUUCCCUCUCUAGGACUCAUCCAGUCAAAGUAACUAAGAACUUUGGAUUGAAGUAAUAAGAUGAUUGAAUCAUCAGAACUACUUCGAUAUAUCUUUUUUACUUUUUAGCCACAGUCUUUGUGAACCCAGAUGACUUUCAUUCUCCCAUUUCUUGUUCUUGGUUCGAACUAUUAGUUGAAUUAUUUCUUGAUUUCAUCAGUUUAUUCAUUCAAUUCACAGUCACAAGGGGCCGGAAGGACUUCUAGUCUAUUAGAAUCCCCUAGAGUAGUAAAAUAUAUCUUUAGUUUAUUUCAUAUAUAUCUAGCACGAGUCAAUAUCUAAUAUCACAUAUACAUGUCUUUCUUCCAUAACGUAAACCAAUCAUUCCUCUUAGAUUCAAUCCUAUUGGAGAUCAAGCGUCGAAACAUGUAGAAGGUUUGGCUUAUAGUUAUUCAAGUACAAAUACCUUCCUCUCCUAACCGACCUUUUCUAAAAUACUAAAAAAAAUCCCUUUUUUGUAAAUUCUUUUGAAUCUUACCUUUUCUUAUUAUUCCACCUAGAUAAAUCUAAAUGGACAAAUUGAUUAGGCCGAAUAAUUCCAUAUGUUAUAGAAAUAUCAUUAUUUGGUUGAUCUAAGUUCAUGCAAUUUAUUAAUAAAAAUGAAUAAUUUUUUUAUUCAUUUUUAGUAUUUUGGUCAAUCGUUGAAUAAAAUCAACUGAAAGGGAAAUCAUUUCGCCCUUUAUUUUAUUUAAUUACACGUCGUAAACCUAUACAACAAGAAUUAUUGACAAAAAUUCUUAUAUUCAAAUUGUUUUAACAAUGAAUUAAUUUAACAAUGAAUUAAUAAUGAGUUAAGUUAAUAUAAUAAUGAGAUGGACUAAGCAAUCUAAAGUGAAUAUUCAUUGAGACGAAGUAUGAUAUUAAGUGAAGGAAAAGGGAAUUUUAGGAAAAAGAUCUUUUUUUUUAGAUCUUUUUCCCUUACUCUUUAAUAUCAUCGUAAUUUUUUUGCUAUCACUCUAGAUCGUAUAUAACAUAGUUGUAUAUUUAGAUUCCCCUAUUCUAUUCCCUAAGUUAAGUAAUUCCACCCACCAUAUACAUUUUUUCAUUGCUGUGGGCUAAGCUAAAAAAGACUAUUUCAAUGAUGGCCCUCCAUGGAUUCACCUAUAUAAGCCGCGGCUAAAGUUGCAAAAAUAAGAGCUUGAAUACCACUUGUAAAUAAUCCAAGGAGCAUGACAGGUAUAGGAACUACUAAGGGUACUAAAGAAACAAGAACAACAACUACUAAUUCAUCAGCUAAGAUAUUCCCGAAAAGUCGAAAACUAAGUGAUAAGAGUUUUGUGAAAUCUUCUAAGAUGUUAAUGGGUAAAAGGAUUGGGUUUGGUUGAAAAUAUUUUUUGAAAAAACCUAAUCCCUUUUUUGUAAGACCCAAAUAGAAGUAUUCCACUGAUGUGAGUAAAGCCAAAGAAACAAUAGUAUUUAUAUCAUUCGUGGGUGCGGCUAACUCCCCAUGAGGUAAUUGUAUGAUUUUCCAAGGUAAAAGAGCUCCUGACCAAUUAGAAACAAAAAUAAAUAAAAACAUAGUGCCAAUAAAAGGAACCCAGGGCCCAUAUUCUUCUCCAAUUUGAGUUUUACUCACAUCUCGAAUGAAUUCAAGAACAUAUUCGAAGAAAUUCUGACCCCCGGUCGGGAUGGUUUGUGGGUUCCGAACAGCUAUAGUGGCUGAACCUAAUAAGAUAGCAAUUACAACCCAAGAAGUAAUAAGUACUUGGCCAUGUACUUGGAAACCCCCUAUUUGCCAAUAGAAAUGUUGGCCUACUUCCACACCGGAUAUAUCGUAUAACCCCUUUAGAGUAUUGAUAGAACAUGAUAGAACAUUCAUAUUGCCUUGCCCUCUGAAAAAAUUGAACUUUAAACAAAAUUUUUUGAUUCAACCAUCUCUUUGUCUACUUGAAUCGGAUAUUUGUAAUACCAACUAAGAUUUAUAAUACUAAUAAAUCACAUAAUAUCCCCAGUUAUUUUUAUCUCUUUUUUGAAAUUCAGAAAUAGUAAGCGAUUCCAUAAGGGAUUUCUGAAGUAAGUUAUUUAUCUUAUUAUGUUAUUAUUAAUCAAGGAUUUCUUAUAUAGCUAGAACGACCCUCACAAAUUGCGAAUACUAAUUUAUUAAGAAUUAAUCGGAUUGAGGAUAUGGCGUCAUCAUUCGCUGGAAUUGAAAUAUCUGCGAGAUGGGGGUCACAAUUUGUAUCGGUUAAACAAAUUGUUGGAAUUCCUAAAGUAAUACACUCUCGCAGGGCUGUAUAUUCUUCAUGAUGAUCACCGAUGAUUACAAUAUCGGGUACCCCUAUCAUAUAUUUAAUCCUGCCCAGAUAUGUUUGCAAGCGAGAUAAUUGUCUUUUAAAUAUAGCAGCAUCUCUUUUCGGGAGACGGUUGAGUCUCCCUGUUUUUUGUUCCAUUCCCAAGUCCCUGAACUUAUGAAGUAUUGUUUCUAUAAUGGACCAAUUAGUUAACAUACCUCCAAGCCAUUUUUUAUUAACAUAAUGACAUCGGGCCCUUAUUGCAGCCCACUCUACUGAAUCAGCUGCUUUAUUUUUGGUACCAACAAUUAAGAAUUAUUUUCCCCUACUUGCUGCGUCAAAAACUAAAUCACAAGCUUCUAAUAAAAAAUGAGAAGUUCUAGUAAGAUUUGUAAUAUGAAUAACCUUACGCUUUGCAGAGAUAUAAGGUGCCGUUUUAGGAUUCCAUUUCCUAGUACCAUGACCAAAAUGAACUCCUGCCUCUAUCAUCUCUUCUAAAUUUGUGUUCCAAUAUCUUCUUGCCAUUUCUCCCCACAACCUCCCCCCCGUUUUUAUUCUUAAAAAAAGAGACGAGGAACCCUGAACUGAAAUAAAUAAUUAUUCCGACGGAACCUUCUCUUCUACCAUAGAUUGGACGUAGAUACACGACCCAAACCAUUAUUCUUUUCUAUUCAUUAUUCUUUUUAUUACCAAAGCAAAUAACCAUCCCAAAUGUAGAUAGAUAAAGAGAUGAAUCCUUUGUUAGGAAUCAUUAAAUCCUAUAAAUUAUUGUUCGGGUAUGUCGUGAAAUUUUUUUGAAAGACAAGAAUCAAAUAAUUUUCUGUGGUGGAACAAAAUAUCUCUCAUCUCCCCCUCAAAUAGAUUCUUUUUUUUUUUGUUUCCAAAGGAAUGUUGUUAUGUUGUUUUAAAGGGUGCACUAAUCCUUGAAUCCGGUACCAACGGGUAUCACCCCUUCAAAACAACGUUCUCUUUAAGGCCUUUCAACCAAUUUAUACGACCUCGGAGAGCCGCUUUUGCUAAAACUCGAGCAAUUUCUUGAAAACUCACUUCAGAUAUGAAACUUUGAGUAUUGAGAGAUGCUCUUGCUAUUCCUAAUAAGAUGACUCGGUAACAGAUCGCCUCUUCCAAAGAGCGACCUAUUCGUUCUGCUUGCAACAAUCCAAUAAGUUCUCCAGGUGAAAAAACAUUAGACAGUCCAUCUUCUGAAACCAACAAUUUUGAUGUUAUUUGACGUGCAAUAAUUUCUAUAUUCCUAUUAUGAAUCUGCACCCCCUGGGAGCGAUAAACGUGUUGGAUUUUAUUAACCAAAGAGAUUUGUCUUUGCACUAUAGUUAGCUAAGCACCAAUCAUGAAUCUACAAGGAAUUCCAAGAAUUCUUGUUAUACAUUUAUUCCAACCCUCAACCCUCUUUUCUAGAUUCAUGGAUAUUAAAUCAAUCGAACGCACCUCUAACACCUAUUCUACUUUUGGAAGACCCUGUGUUAUAUCACCAAAUCUUGAUUUUUCAUAUAUAAGUGUAACUAAUGUAUCUCCUUCAUAUAGGGUUUCGCCAUAAUGGCCAUGAACGGUUGCUCCGAUGGUGGCCAAAUAAGGCUUAGCUGAUCGUAUCACUAUCGAGUCAACUUGAACAAGUAUAACUUGACCCGAUUUGAGGGGCGGUCCAUUUUUGGCUAUACAUACAUUUUCACAAGUAAACUGUCCAAGACUAAUUAUUUUAGAUGUCUCUUCACAAUAAUUGUGAUGGAGAAAUGACCAAUUCAAAUUGAAUGGAUUUAAAAUAAUGGUACGACAUGGAUCAGGAUUAAAAAAUUUUCCAUUUUCAUCCAUUAAAUAAUAUUUAAAUUUAAUUACUUGAAAGGUCUGGUUUAAAUUGUCAAGUUGCAAAUAGUUAGUUACUAAGAUCUGAUUAUGAGUUAUUAAAUGGUAAGAUGAAUAAAAAUUCUCAAUUGGAAGGCAUGUUCCUAAAGGGCCCAACGAAUUCCUAAUUGGAAUUAGGGGAUCUUUUUUAAUUGAUUCUUUUAUCACACUGUGAUAUUUUACAUCCUUGAAUGGCCCCAUUCGAGAACAAUUGGCUGCUGACAAAAUUAUCAACGACUGACAUUCCUUAUUUCUAUUCAACAACGUAUGAAUAGUUCCUUGAGGUUGGUUAAGAGAUUGUUGAAUUUUUUCCUUGGAAUAGGAAUAAAUGGAAGAAAAGGGGUUGAUAUUGGUACAAUCUGAUCCAUUAUUAGAGAGCAAUUCUAACCCCGACGGAUCAUUCCUUUUUUCGAUAGACGAAAUAGGGGAUUUUACUAAGUUAAUUCUUAGGAAAUGUCGAAUCAAACCAUUUGUGCUUAUUUCAAAAAAAGAAGCACGGGCUUCUUCGCAAGAACUUUUUUUUGUCUUAGUUCCAAUUCAAUACUAAACAAGUCCGAACUAAUUGAAUAGUUGUGUCAAAAAUUCCUUGAAUCAGUUUGCUAUUUCCAUAAAGGAUAUAAUUGACAAUUCGAAGUUGCACAUCAUCCCUUUCCUGCAAUGGAUCUGGUGGAAAGGGGUUGCUAAAUUUAUACCGUCCGUUAUUUCAUAUGUGACGACAGGUCAAACCAAAACAAAAAACCUUUUCUUUCUAGGUGUAAUCCGUUGGACAUAGACCCAAUUUUUAACUUUUUUGGAUUCCUUGGAAUUUCUUUUUCCUGUUCUUGAUGCCAUCAAAAUGAUGGUAUGUCUGGAUAUCUUAUCUGUCUCUCCGAGAAAAUGGAUAUCUCCAGAAAAGAUUUUAAGUUCAAUUCGUUUGUUUUUCCUCUCCACCCGGACCAACCCACCGACUAGGCUUCUUAGAUUUAAGGUAAUUUGUGUAUCUACCCUAAUGAUACUGUUGUUCUGUACCAUUAUAGAAGAAGAUCCAGGCAAGAUAUGCACCUCUUCAGGAAUGAAAAAAAAUCAAUCUACUUUCAUUUGAUAUUUUGACCGAAAUUCCUUGACUCCUCGAUACUCAAUCAAAUCCUCUUUUUUGAUGACUGAAUGCAUUUCUAUAGUCCCAUAUUUAAUAAUGCCCGAACUCUUUCUUCUGUAUUGAGGAUCAUCGAAAUAAGCAAGAAUACUAUUUCGAUGGAAAUACCAUUUACAGGGAUUUCAAUCGAGAUACCUGAAUAUGGCAUUAGUUGAUUCUCAAGUUCUUGAAUUGGAUAUAGUGGAAUGAUGAAUUUAUUUCUUCUCCUUUUUGACAAUAAAUCAGUAUUCUCGUGGAGCAUAAGCGAAUAUAUGAGAUUAUACUGAACAGUACAUAUGAUUCGAUUAAGGUCUGAAUAAUCAAGAAUCUUAUCUUCUUUUUUAACAUAAAAAUCCAAACUAAAUAAUUUCUGCCUCGCCUGAUCAUUGAUUACUGAGAGGUUAGAAGUAUAUCUUCACUUGCUAGAAAGAGAAUGCACAUUCAUUUGAUCCUGAUCCUUAUGGAUCGAAAGUUAGACUAGACUGAACCUGCAUGGCCCUCCUAAUAAUAUCCAUAAAUGACUUGUUUUUCGUAAUAGAAGAACAUUAUCGUAUGUAAAUUCGGGUGCAUGAUAGACAUCGGUACUACAGUGCAUUUCUCCGUCUGAAUCAGAAUAAAUAUGUUUUUGAACCUUCUCUUUAAAAUUCAAAGUGGAUAUGCCUGUGCGAAUCUCAACAAUUACUUGUUCUGAUUCUACAUAUUGAUCGUUUUGAACUAAAACCAAACUUUUGGGUGGAAUAUUCACAUUAUGUAGAAUAUCUUCACUCUUAAUAGUUACAUACAAGUCUAUAGAACAUAUAAAGGUAGGAUACCCAUGAUGUGUACGUGUCGGAUGAACCAAAUCCUCAUUGAAUUUUAUUUUUCCAUUAGAUGGGGUCACACAUGUUCUGCAGUACCCCCCAUAAAUACUCCUCCGGUAUGAAAAGUUCUUAAUGUUAAUUGAGUACCCGGUUCUCCAAUCGAUUGACCUGCAAUAAUACCUACAACUCCCCCUAACUCAACCAGGUCGCCAUAAGUAGGACUCCGGCCAUAACAUAAUCGACAAAUCCAAGAUGUACUCCUACAAGUAAAGGGAGUUCGAAUAGAUAUUGGUUGUUCCCAAAAGGUUAUGAAUCGAUUUACAAGUCCAAUGCCAAUGUCUUGAUUUCUAGAGGCAAUAUAUCAUGAAUCCAUGUAUAUAUCAUCUGCUAAUACACGGCCAAUUAAUGUUUGACUAAAAAUCCUUUUUGGCAUCAUCCCAUUUCGAGGACUCACAAAAAUACCCCAGGCGGUGCCACAAUCUGUUCGACCGACAAUAAUGUGUUGAACUACUUCAAUAAGUCUUCGAGUGAGAUAUCCAGCGUCUGAUGUUCGUACAGCAGUAUCCACAACUCCUUUACGGGCUCCGUACAAAGAAAUGAUGUAUUCUGUUAAAGAGAGUCCUUCGUGCAAAUUGCUUUGAAUAGGUAAAUAAAUCAUUUGUCCUUGAGGAUCCGACAUUAAUCCUCUCACACCUACUAAUUGAUGUACCUGAGAUGCAUUUCCUCUAGCUCCCGAGAAAGACAUUAUAUGAACUGGAUUAAAAGGGUCAGUCAUCCUAAAAUUUGGAUUCAUUUCUUGUCACAAAUAUUCACUUGUCGCAUACCAUAUUUCAAUGGAUUCGUGUAAUUUUUCUACCAUGUUUACAUUCCCAUAAUGAUGGUGUUUUUCCAAAAUCAAACUUUGUUGUUCAGCAUCUUGAACGAGCCAUCCCUUAGAAGGUAUUGUUAAAAGGUCAUCAAUUCCUAAUGAAAUGGAUGUAGCAGUAGCUUGUUGGAACCCCAGAGUUUUUACUUGAUCCAGGAUAUGUGAUGUAUAUGCCAUUUCGAAGUGCUCUAUUAAUCUACUAAUAAGUCGUUUCAUGGCAGUUCCAUCUAUCGCUUUAUUAUGAAAGACCAAAUUGACUCGUUCUGCCAUAAGUACCUCCAUAUUCCGCUGAGUAGGAUUCGAUAAUGGGUUUGAGUUGGUGAUUGUAAAACUUCCUUUUAUCGAUCUUGAUUCGCGUAUAAAUUCUAGAACUAUGUACCUAGCUGAACCGGAGAGCCCCAAAGUCCCACAGUAUCAUAGAAUUAUGUUACGUACCAUAUGAAUAGGCUCGAUAAAACCCCUAUAUAGCUUCUUCGAUUUCUCGAUAAUGAGCAAUAUGACCAACAGUGGUUCGAAUGUAUAUAAAAAGGAUUUGUUUUUUUAGACUUCUUACUAUUAGAUAGUGUCCAUAAAUCUCAUAAAAAGUACCUAAAGAUUCAUAGUGAACUUCGAUGGGAGUUUCUCUUGAAGCAAUAACGCGUUGAUCUAGUCGCCACCGGAGCCACAAAGGACUAUCUAAAUUGAUUCGUUUCUGCCGAUAAGCCCCAAUUGCAUCAUAGGAAUUCGAAAAAAAGGGUUCUUUCGUAUACUUAUAGUAACUAUUGUCACUUCUUUUUUGAUUUUGAUAGUUUCUGCGAUUACAUGGAUUAUAUCUAUUUACACAAAUACCUCGAUGAUUUCCGCUCGUUAAUACAUAGAGUCCAAUAAGCAUAUCUUGCGUUGGUACGGAAAUGGGAUCCCCAAUAGCCGGAGACAAAAGAUUCAUAUGAGAAAACAUAAGUAAACGGGCCUCUACUUGAGCCUCCAAGGAUAAAGGUACAUGAACAGCCAUUUGAUCUCCAUCAAAAUCGACAUUGAAUCCCUUGCAAACUAAUGGAUGUAAACAAAUAGCGUGCCCCUCCACUAAAAUGGGCUGGAAUGCCUGUAUGCCUAAUGUAUGCUGAGUGCGUUCUCUAUUCAGCAAUACAGGAUAUCCCUGCAUAACUUCUUGAAGGAUUUCCUAUACAAUCGGCUCUUUUUCUCGAAUUUUACUCUUAGCAACUCCUAUGUUCGAAGCAAGAUGUUGUCUAAUUAGACCACGAAUUACAAAUGUCUGGAAGAGUUCUAUUUUUAUUUCACGAGGCAAUCCACAUCGAUGUAAUGAAAGUGAAGGACCCACGACAAUGACAGAACAUCCUGAAUAAUCAACUCAUUUGCCAAGUAGAGUCUCACAAAAUCUUCCCUCUUUGCCUUCAAUUACAUCAGAAAACGGCUGGUAAACUUUAUUAUGACCGUCCCUCAUUGGUUGUCCCCGGAUUCCAUUAUCAAGAAGUGUAUCCACGGCUUCUUGUACUAAUUUCUCCUGACACAUUACUAAUUCUCCUGGCGUAGAUCUACUUGUUGUUAAUAGAUCGGUAAGGGUAUUGUUCCGAUAGAUAACUCUUCUAUAGAGUUCAUUAAUAUCUGAGCUCAUUAGUUUACGCCUAUCUAUCUGAAUAAUCAGUAUCAACUUAGGAGGAAGAACUGGUAAUAGACACAAAACCAUCCAUUCUGGCUCUAUAUUUUUUUGAAUAAAAUGCUUAGCCAAUUCCACGCAUCUAGCCAAAAAUUCCUUUCUUCUUACAACCUUUCAAUCUUCCCAUUCAUUCCCUGUGUGCCCUUCUUCCCCCAAUUCUUCCCAUUCCACCAACUAAUUCUCUAUAAUAAUUCAUAAAUCUAGAUCGGCUAAUUGUUCUCAGAUAGCACCUGUACCAGUAGAGAUUUAUCGAUUGCGAACUAUAUUGAAACCCUGGGUAGUAAAAAAAGUGGGAUGCUGUAUUUCCAAGAUUGGAUUUCAUAUUGGAAUAAACCUCAUAAUCGUAAGAAAGUGGUCUUUUUAGUUAUGAGCCUAGCAAAAGAAAAAUUGGGAUAGGAUUCUAUAAGAUCUCCCCCCAUUCAAAAUCAGACGUGAAAGUUUCCUUUCAUCCGGCUCAAGUAGGUCCACCAAAUAAGGAAAGUAGUAAGGGUCUACUCCUUACUCUAGUUCCUAGCGAAGACGAAACAUGAUUUCAGUGAUUUCGUCUUCUAUUAAUUCUUUAUUCAAAUUCAAUUCCAACAAAUAAAAUAGAAAAUUCUUGAGUAGUCUACUUCCCUUUGAAUGAUAAAUCCCUUAACUCUUAAUAAUUAAAUUAAAGGAACACCUUGGAACCCAUAAGGGAUUUACUUGUCUAUAUAUUGUUCUAUUCGAUCUUUUAGGUCCCGACUUCACCUUGAUGUUUAGGCCACCACGCCCUUAAAGUCUAUACGUGAUAGAUAGACUCCUGGAACCAUGACAUAUUUUCUUACUUGAACAUAAUUUCUUUCCACGAAAAUAAAGGAAAUGGUUCAUUCCACAAAAUAAAAAGCUUUUUUUACGAUGUACAAAUAGAAAUUCCUCUUUAUUUGAUUUGUUAUGAAAUUGACCAUAGAUCAAUUCCUCUUUUAUUUAGAUGUAUUGACUACACCCCAAUUCUGAGCUUCAUGUUACUCUUUCCAAGUGACAUGUCAUGUCCAAGGCAUCCCAAUUGGAUUGACUGGGAUGACAGUUUUUCUUUUCGAGUCAGUAAAAUCAGAAUUUUGAUCAAAUCACACAUCGCAGUAUAUUAGGCCUUCUAAUUCUGUAAGAGGUUUAUCUAAAAGAUUCGGAAUAUAACUAUGAAGACGUUUUAAAUACCACAAAUGGGUUACUGGGCAUGCGAGUUUGAUAUAGCCCAUUUGAUACCUUCAUAUCCGAGAAUCAACAAAGUCAACUCUACAUUGUUCACAAAAUUUUGGGUCUUCUUUUUUAUCUCCGAUUACUCGAUAAUUUCCACAAGCACAAAUUCUGCUUUUUAUAGGACCAAAAAUUCUUUCACAAAAUAAUCCAUCUUUUUCCGGUUUAUUAGUUUUGUAAUGAAAAGUAUAGGGUUUUGUUACCUCUCCAACUAUCUCUCCAUUAGGCAGGAUUUUUAUGGCCCAAGCACUUAUUUGUAGAGGAGAAACUGAUCCGAUUCGGAGCUGUUGAUGUUUAUAUCAAUCGAUCAUAGAAGAAAAAUUAUUAUUCAUUCCGAUUAAGAUUCCUUCCUAUUAAUCUGGAAGUUCUUCUCAGAUACAAGGAAAUGAUUCAGCUCCAAAGCUAAAGAUUGUAGUUCUCGAACGAGCAAUCAAAAAAAUUCUGGAGCAUCUUCGGGAUUCGGUAUUGCUCCCCCAAUGAUCGUAGUACCAAGUACUUCCUGGCGAGAUCUAAUAUGAUCCGAUUUAUAAGUAAGCAUCUCUUGUAAAAUAUGAGCAACCCCAAACCCUUCUAGAGCCCAAACCUCCAUUUCUCCUACCCGCUGUCCCCCCUGUUUGGCUCUUCCUCUAAGGGGUUGUUGUGUAACAAGCGCAUAAUGUCCACUGGAACGCCCAUGGAUUUUAUCAUCAACUUGAUGAAUUAAUUUCAAGAUAUAAGGCUUUCCUAUUAUAACGGGUUGUUCAAAAGGAUUCCCCGUCCUUCCAUCAAAUAUUCUGCUUUUUCCUGGAUAUUCGGGUUCAAAUACCCAUGGAUUCGAUGUUUGCUUACUGGCUUCAUAUAAUUCAGAAAACACUAGUUUUCGCGAAGCUUCUUGUUCAUAUCUCUCAUCAAAAGGUGCUAUUCUAUAAUGUCUGUCUAGCAGACUCCCUGCUAACCCUAGUGAACAUUCAAAUAUCUGUCCUACAUUCAUUCGUGAAGGUACUCCUAAUGGGUUAAAGACCAUAUCAACGGAUCUUCCAUCUUGUAAAUAAGGCAUAUCUUGUCUAGGCAAAAUUUUUGAAAUGAUACCCUUAUUUCCGUGUCUUCCGGCUACUUUAUCGCCUACUUUGAUUUCACGUUUCUGUGAAAUAUAUACAUGAAUCGUUUCGGGAUUAUAACUAGAACCACCCCUUUUCUGGAUCCACCUCACAUCAAUAACCCGCCCCCUGCCACCUAUAGGUAAUUUUAGACAAGUUUCUUUUGAAGUAGAUACCUGAAUACCAAGUAUAGCUCGUAACAAUCUAUCUUCCGGGGCAUACGACGAUUCUUUCACGACCUGGGGUGUUAAUUUACCUACUAAAAUAUCACCCGUCUCUACCCAAGAUCCCAGCAUCACAAUUCCAUUUUUGUCUAAAUUGCGGAGUAAAUGGGCUUCUAAAUGCGGUAUUUCAUUAGUUACUUUUUCAGGGCCUUGACUUGUCACAUGAGUCUGAAUUUCAUAUUUCCGUAUGUGAAAAGAAGUAUAAAUAUCUUCAUAUACCAAACGCUCGCUAAUAAGUACUGCAUCUUCAGAAUUGUAACCCUCCCACGGCAUAUAAGCUACUAAUACGUUUUUCCCCAAAGCAAGUUCGCCACCAACCGUAGCAGCACCAUCCGCUAAAAUUUGUCCCUUUUUAAUGCAUUUACAGUCCAAUUCUGAUCGGUAAUAAAUACCGAGACUUUGCAAUUUUUGAUUGAUCACAAUUCUAUAUAUUCCAUUGACUAUAGAAGUUCCCAAGGAAUUCAUUAGAGGAAUGUUUCUGAUAAAAAUUGUUUGUUCUUGCAUAUCCCUACUAUUUUUCCAAAUUAACCCCGUGGAUACAUAUAAUUCAGAAGAAUAUGUGAGUGAUUCAUUCACAACAUCUCUUUCCUUUAUCAAGGGUUCGACCAAUUUAUAUGUUUCUACAAAUAAUUGAAAUUCAAUUUCUUGAUCUAAAUCUUCAAUUUUUGGAAACCUAUGAAGUUCUUCCGUCAAACCUUGAUCAAUGAACCUACAAAAUUCUUCAAAUUGUAUCUGAUUAAAUCCAGGUAUUGUAGAUAUUCCCUCAUUUCCAUCCCAGAGCAUUUUUAAUUUCCCAUUUAUCAAAAAAUACCACUAUUGGCUCAUUCUUCAUCUAAUUAGAUAGAUUAGAUAAAUGAUCUAGCAAUGGUGGCAUUUCAAUUUUGUUUACCGAAUCACAUGAAAUUUUACCCAACUCCAUAUCUGGAAUGUAUGAAAUACGUAUGAACGGAGGAAGAAAGAUAAUUUUCUACUUAAAUUGAAUUGGAAUUUAUUGGAAUUUUCAACAGAUACAAAUGGAAAGAAAUUGAUAAAACAUCCCUAGAAACGGACUUCUGCUACUUAGACUUAUUAAUUAAGUUUAUAGGAUUUUGUAUAGAAUAUAAAAACAAAAAUGAUUCCAUUUCUACCAUUAUUAUGAUAAUACAUAUUCCAACCUGCUUGAAUACCAGAAAAAUAAAUGGAUUGGACAUUUGAUCUUUUCGCUGAGAUAAAGGUAUAAAAAUCAGAAAGAGAACAUAUAGAAUUAGAAUCGGUUUUUUAGCAUUUAACCCCCUUUUAUGUUAUGGAUUUCGUUGUUCAAAAAUGAUUCAUAGAGAAGAGAGAGAUUUUGUUUACGGAUUUUUUAGUAGAAUACGAUUGUGAAGCGUAUAAGAAAAGAAGGUUUGUAUGGCUUAAACACAUGUGGAGAUAUCUAUAAUAUCCGUGUUUCUUCUCUUUUCUUAUUUUAUUGUCGUUCUAUGUUCUAUUUGGGGCAACACAGGUUGUGCUCUACGAAAUAGAAUUUAAAUUUUCUAUUUAAUUCAAAAUUCAAAUUGAAGUAUGAUACUUUUCUUAUAUCUGAUAAUUCUAUAUCGGAAACAUAUACAAAUAAUAUAUAUCGGUCUAACAAUUUCUCUUGGGGGGUUUACAUAUACUCAUAAUUGUUGUUAUAAUUAAGAAGGAUUUUUUGAUUGAAAAAAUCCAUACUGAUUAGUUAUAUAUCAAGUUGUAUUUUCUUAUGUCAUUAGGAAAACAAAAAUUGGAGAUUCAAAUCCAAGAAUUGUUCAUGCAUUCUAAGUCAAUAGUUAAUGGUUCCUAUUUUCAUAAAGUUAAAUUUUGGAUUUUGCGACUGAAAAUCCACAUUUGAUUUUUCAAUUGAUUUCAAUAGAAAGGUAAGAGAAAGUUUUGAACUUAUGAAUUUUGAGAUAGACUCAAUCUAAAUUGAAAGGAUGAAUCAAACCAAAUCAAAAGGGAAGAAGUAUUAGGAUUUCUUUGACUUUUAGGAAAAAUUAAGGAAAACAUAUCUCAAGGUGCAAGUACGAUAAAAAAGCAGUUCAGUAAUCUGGGAAAGUUUUCAUCUAUUUUGUAUUUGUAGCAUUUUGGUGACAUGGCCGAGUGGUAAUGCAAAGGACUGCAAAUCCUUUUUUCCCAGUUCAAAUCUGGGUGUUUCCUGAUCAACAAAAAAUAGACAUCUCUUCUUUUCUUUUAUUGAUAUAACCUGCCGAACGAUUCCCCAGCAGAAGCAGAGAAGGAAGACUACUGAUACUUGUUUGAUUCUAAACAUCUGGUCUGGGGGUUUUUCUAAAAAAUUUUAAAUAUCCUUGCAUUGCAUAUCAUUGCAUAUUUAGGCUUAGGCUAGGCUUCAAGGAAAUAUUCGAAAGCUAGAGGGGCUAUCAAGACUUCGCAAUUACCUUCUACUACAAAUAAAAAUUUAUAUUAUUAAUCCAUUGUAUAAUGACUGGACCUUGUCUUAGAUUGGAGAGCCCGAUAGGAAAUAUAAAUAGUUGCGGAAGGGGGCGGAAGAUACUUUAUUAUAUACGAGGAACUCACAAAAAUCUCUGAGUGCUCAAGCAUCCAAUCAAUUGAAAUGAGGGUCAACAAAAAAAGAAUAGGACCUAUUAUUCAUACAUGUUCCAUUAGUAACAUUCCUUACUGCGGAUUUUGCUUGUGUUUAAUCUUUCCCGAUUAGAAAUCAUAUAGAAAUUUCUUAUAAAAUGACUGAAUUUAUCGGAUUGGUUUAUUAAUAGUCUUCGUUCUUUAUGACUUUACGCCAUUGAUUCCACUAUUAUUAGUGAGGAAUAAUGGAACAAUUCCUUUAUAUUUAUAGAGAUAGGGGAAAUAAUUCAUAUGGAUAUAGUAAGUCUUGCUUGGGUUGCUUUAAUGGUGUUUUUACUUUUUCCCUUUCACUCAUAGUGCGGGGAAGGAGUGGACUCUAGGGGUCCUACUAAUUGAUUUAAGAAAGCAAACUGUAUAAAUAUCAAGUUCUUUCUAGAUCGUUCUGUAACACGUUUGGAACAAAAUAAAAAUAUCUUCAUUUUGAAAUUCCAUUGGACUCGACUUGAGUAAUGUAUUAUAGGAAUCAUCCUCCUUCAAUCAAAGAGCUAUUUCAACAAUUCUCAUGUUUGUAGUUUGAAAGGAAGAGGGUCCCAGGAAAUUUAUUUGAACCUAAUUCUUCCUAAAUUUUCUAGUCCAAUCAACGGCCUCUUACUAGGUUAUACUGAGGAGGGUCAGACCCUUUUUUUAUUUAUUUCUUUCUUUACUGUUCAAAGAAGAAGUUUUUUGUUAAGUGUAUACGCACUUUGUAUGAGAAAGAAGGGAUAUAAACAUAAUGGUUGUCUAACGAGAUACUAUGCAGAAUAAGGUUGUCAGGUGGGUCACAUAUUGCGCAUUUACCGCUUUUGAAUUUUUAAAAUUGGAUUUAUACUUUAUCGACUUAUUUCAUAUCAUGGUUCAGGCGUUAAAAAUCAGUGAGGUUUACUCUUCCUUUUCGAUGCCCGUGGAACUACUGUCAAUGGUUUACUCAAUUACUUAUUGGGAAUGUUAAAAAAAAAGAUUGUGACGUUAUUUUUUGAAGAUGCCUAUAUCUAUAGCUUUUCCUUCAUUUAUUUGAUUCUUUCAAUAGAUACCGAGAUUCAUAUUGGAAAUAAAAGAUAUAGUAAUUCAAACUAUAAGACAUAAGAGUGAUUCAGAUUGAUCAGAACAAAUAGAUAUAGCAAAUAAAUGGAAUUGGAUGCUAUGUCACUCCCAUAUAUGGAAUUGAUAUUCACAUAUAUCAAGAUAAUAUUGUGGAUUGAUCUAUAGAUCCAUAUCAAAUGCAGCCUCUAUCUUUAUUUUAGUCCAGGGAGCAGCUACAAUCUAACUAAUAAAUAGUAUGGUAGAAAGAAAUAGAUGAAUCUUUCUACCAUACUAUCUAUCUAUUAGAAUACUGCCGAUUCUAGUCCACUCAUUUCAUUUAAGACAUGAAAUUGGAAUCUUUUUCAUUUUAUUUCGGCAAUUUUGGCUAAGAACUCAGAAGUCAAGUUUCAUUCAAAUUAGUUAAUAAUUAAUCGUUUUGACUGACUGUUUUUACGUAAAUGAUAAGUAGAAAAGCGGUAGGAACUAGAAUAAAUAGUGCAGUAGCAAUAAAUGCAAGAAUAUUUACUUCCAUAAUCUCAUCGGUUUUUUACUUCGCAAUAACUCGGGAUUUAAUCCCAUAGAGAUGAUAAAUCUUUGGCCUGUAAAUUCAAUGAAUGAAUAUUACCUCUCGAUGAUCUUGAAUCGGAUCAAUAUCAUGAAUAACAAUAUCUGAACUAUCAAAUCAAUUCGUCGUCGAGAAUUGAAUAGUAUAACAUAGGAAGUUCUUUUAUCCAUACCGCCCCAAACUUGGAUUCCUGACCCAAUCCAACCAAAAUUCCUUUAUUUAUCAUUUUUUAUCAUCUGUUCUUUUUUUCUCUCUAAUCUAUCUAGUUCCUUCUUGUACAAUCAUCUGAUGAAGUCUCAUCAAACAGCUCUUCCACUUCCAGUGGUCACAUAGUUACAAACCCAAACAAACAAUAAAAGCUAAAUGGAAAAAGAAAGGAGUUUAGAACGAAACUAUUUUUGACUUGGAAGACAAAGAAGUGUGAUAAAGAUGCGACCGUAUAAAAUGAAUAUUCAUCAAAUUUACUAUUUUUCAAUUUGUUCUUUCGUCGAUGGGGCCUUAAAACAAAAUGAAAAAUCGGAAAAAUGAUUCAUUCCCCUUUCUAAGAGGAGUAGGAUCUUUGGUUGAUCUGUCCUUCCCCCUCCUUUCUUCGUAGAUUAUUAGCCCCGGGACACCUAUACCAAAAGCUCAGUGUGCAAUUUGCAUGAAAUCUAUUUUUCAACUUCAAACUAGUAAGUGAGGUUCCAUAAAUCCGUAUCCAGAAAAAUAAAUUGUUUUUUUUUUGUUUUUUCUGGAAAGUAUUUUCUUAUAUUCAAUUUUGUAUUGGACAAGAAAAUAAUUCCCUUUGUGUAUGCGUACCUCAAAAAGGUAUAGUACCCGAUUCCAUUACAUGCAUCGGGGUCAAUCGAAAAAGCCAGCAUUUCUUGGAAUACUGACUAUAAUGAUACCAAUAAUUGUACUAAUCCAACAAUAUAUUACCCAAAGGAAAGAAAAAAGAAAUAAGGAUUUCCCUUUGCUUUGACAAUGAAAUUCUGCACCCCGUCCCCUUCAUAAAAAGGGAGAGAUUUAUAUUGGAUCCGUCGGGAUUGACGGGGCUCGAACCCGCAGCUUCCACCUUGACAAGGCGGUGCUCUGACCAAUUGAACUACAAUCCUAGGGAAAUACAGGAUCUAGCAGAAAAUUUGAUUCUUUUUUAUCUCUGAAUCGGGUAUUUCUGAAGUACAAAGAGGUUAUAUCAUCUCAUGAUGGAUUGUCGAAUUAUUAGGCCAAGCUGGAUUUGAACCAACGUAGACAUAUUGCCAAUGAAUUUACAGUCCGUCCCCGUUAACUGCUCGGGCAUCGACCUAGGAAGAAUCAAUUUUAGACUUAUUGGUAAUCAAAGAUCAACUUCCUUUCGUAAUACCCUACCCCCAGGGGAAUUCAAAUCCCCGCUGCCUCCUUGAAAGAGAGAUGUCCUAAACCACUAGAUGAUGGGGGCCCGCUUGACCAACGGCCAUCAUACUAUGAUCAUAGUAUGAUCAGUUUUUUGAAAUUGUCAAUAUAAUCGAAUGAUUCUAUCCGAGGGAUCUUUCCCCCUUUCAGAAUUGCAUAGAAUUAUUUUUUAUUCUGAUGAAUUAUUCAUUCUAAUCGCCAUUAGAAAUCUAAAAUCUAGUAGUAGUAUUUUUUUUAUUUUUGAAUUAUUUCAAUUGAAUUUAUUUCGAUUAUUUUAGUAUUUAGAAUUUUAUUUCGAUUUCUUUCACUUUCAUUUGAUUCAUUGUUAAGACGAGAUAUCCUUAUCUCCCUCCCACCAAGACAGGAAAUUAACAAAUGAGAAAUCUAGUAAGAUCAAGCAGAAAAUUGUUUUUUAUCCAAGAAUUUAGUUCAAGAGACAAGUAGAAUCUCUUCAUUCCAUGAUUCGAUGAAAUAUCUUGAAUUUUAUGUUGAAUUGCUAGGUGUAUGUACAUGUAUCAAUCAAGUGAAUUUUGUUCUGGUGGGAUCAAUUCAAUAAAAGAAAAAAAACAAUUCGAGUCGGUCUUGAAACACUUCAUUGCAUUUUCUCCUAGACUUCCUUGGUAAAUCCAUGAGCCACUAGACACUAUGUAUCUAUUGCACGUAUUUAAUGCAUAUAUACUUAUGUUUAUAAUAUAUAUAUAUACAUAUAGAUAUUUUAUCCACAUAGUGAAUAAUUCCAGAAUUAAAUAAAAAAGGCCCUUUUAACUCAGUGGUAGAGUAAUGCGAUGGUAAGGCGUAAGUCAUCAGUUCAAAUCCGAUAAGGGGCUUUGUAAAACUCCAAUCUAGUAUUCAUAUUUAAGGGGAGAAUUGUUUUUCGAUUUGUAAUUAAAAAAAAGUAACUUACUGGAUAAUACAUUAUCAUUAUACUUAGUUAUAAUGUUGAACAUUUGUUUAGUCAAUUUUCAUUAUUAUGAAUUUCUAAAUAAUGAAAAGUCACUUCUUGAAUCACCCACCAAAUAUUCCUAUUUUCCAUUAUACCAACCAAAUCCAUUCGAAAGGUUAGAAAUCAACAAAAGAAAAAGGAAGUGGACCUGACCUAUUGAAUCAGGACUAUAUUCGUUAUUUUGAUAUUAAAAUUCGAUAGAGAUGAAAUUGGAGCAGUUGAUUUUUUUUAUUUCAUUUUUUUGUUUUGGACUGCACAAGAAUUUUUCGAUAUUUCUGAUUAAAUCUUCUUAUUACUAGAUUUUCUAUAGGAAAAAUUAUAGGAAUAAAUAAUUAUUCCUUUCCUCUAUAGAUAAACCUUUCUUCCAAGUCACACCAUAAGAGCCAUUUAUUAUCUUUCUUUGAUUCUAGAUCAAAGAUCAAUUUCUAUCUAGAUUAUAUAUCUAUAUUAAGUAGAUUGUAGAUUUCGAUGUAUAUCUAUCAGAUCGUGGCUUCAUGUAACAAAUAUUUCAAUAUCGUUGCAUCCGGUAUUUUUGUUUUGUUCCAACAGUGUGAUGAAGAAUAGAUCCGAGAAAGAGACUUUCAUUUCCAGUCUCCUAGUUAUUUUAUUUAUUUUAUUGAAUUUUAGAUUUGCUAAAAGGAAAAAUAGUAGAUUAUCUCUUUUUCUAACAAACAAAAGAAUCUAAAAGUAAAUAUUUGCUCGAACUUUCUUUUUUCUUUUGAUCUGUGGAAAGAUAUACUCUGGGGUUUUAGAUUUAUUUAUAUGAAGUAUGAAGGAAAGAGACCGUUUGGUCCUUGAAGAUUUCUUUCAAAACAUGGGAUUGAUUGGAUUGUCUUAAUAAGAUAAUUCAUGGUUCAUAUGCUUAGUCAGAAGGAAUAAUCCAAUGGAGUUCAUUGAUUUACCUAGGUCAGUUUAUAGGCUAAUCAAUAAAGGAUUUUUAUCUUCGAAACCCAUUGGAAAGGGCAUUGCAAGAGAAAUCAUACAAAAAUGAUUGAAUCUUUGGACGCCCCGAAAAAGAUAUGAGGUGCUCGAAAAUGGUCAAAGUAGUUGAAUAGGAGGAUCGCUAUUAAUAUAUCCAAUGGUAAGUUUACCAAAGACUAAAAUGAUUUAUUUGAUACUAUGGAUAACUGGUUAUGGAGGGACCGUUUCAUUUUUGUAGGCUGGUUCGGUCUAUUGCUCUUUCCUUAUGCCUAUUUUGCUUUAUGAGGUUGGUUCACAGGUGAAACCUUUGUAAAUUCAUGGUAUACCCAUGGAUUGGCCAGUUCUUAUUUGAAAGCUUGCAAUUUCUUAACUGUCGCGGUUUCUACUCCUGCUAAUAGUUUAGCACAUUCAUUGUUGUUACUAUGGGGUCCUGAAGCACAAGGAGAUUUUACUCGUUGGUAUCAAUUGGGGGGUCUGUUGACUUUUGUUGCUCUCCAUGGAGCUUUUGGCCUAAUAGGUUUUAUGUUACAUCAAUUUGAGCUUGAUCGAUCUGUUCAAUUAAGACCUUAUAAUGCAAUCGCAUUCUCUGGUCUAAUUGCUGUUUUUGUUUCUGUAUUUUUGAUUAUCCACUAGGUUAGUCUGGUUGGUUCUUUGCACCUAGUUUUGGUGUAGCAGCUAUAUUUCGAUUCAUCCUAUUUUUUCAAGGGUUUCAUAAUUAGACCUUGAGCCCCUUUCCUAUGAUGGGAGUUGCCGGUGUAUUGGGCGCUGCUUUGCUAUGUGCCAUUCAUGGUGCUACCAUAGAAAAUACUUUAUUUGAAGAUGGUGAUGGUGCAAAUACUUUCCAUGCUUUUAACCCAACUCAAGCCAAAGAAACUUAUUCAAUGGUCACUGCUAACCGCUUUUGGUCCCAAAUCUUUGGGGUUUCUUUUUCCAAUAACCGUUGGUUACAUUUGUUUAUGUUAUUUGUACUAGUAACCAGUUUAUGGAUGAGUGCUCUUGGAGUAGUCGGUCUAUCCCUGAACCUACGUGCCUAUGACUUCGUUUCUCAGGAAAUUUGCGCAGUGGAAGAUCUUGAAUUUGAGACUUUCUACACCAAAAAUAUUCUCUUAAACGAAGGUAUUCUCACUUGGAUGGCGGCUCAAGAUCAGCCUCAUGAAAACCUUAUAUUCCCUAAGGAGGUUCUACCACGUGGAAAUGCUCUUUAAUGGAACUUUAGCCUUAGCUGGUCGUGACCAAGAAACCACUAGUUUUGCUUGGUGGGCUGGGAAUGCCCGACUUAUCAAUUUAUCCGGUAAACUACUAGGGGAUCAUGUAGCCCAUGCUGGAUUAAUUGUAUUCUGGGCCAGAGCAAUGAACCUAUUUGAAGUAGCCCAUUUCGUACCCAAGAAGCCUAUGUAUGAACAAGGAUUGAUUUUACUUCCCCACCUAGCUACUCUAGGUUGGGGGUAGGCCCUGGGGAUGAAGUUAUAGACACCUUUCCAUACUUUGUAUCUAGAGUAAUUCAUUUAAUUUCUUCUGCAGUAUUGGGCUUUGGCGGCAUUUAUCAUGCACUUCUGGGACCUGAGACACUUGAAGAAUCUUUUCCCUUCUUUGGUUAUGUCUGGAAAGAUCGAAAUAAAAUGACCACAAUUUUAGGUAUUCACUUAAUCUUGUUAGGUCUAGGUGCUUUUCUUCUAGUAUUCAAGGCUCUUUAUUUUGGGGGCGUAUAUGAUACCUGGGCUCUGGGAGGGGGAGAUGUAAGAAAAAUUACCAACUUGACCCUUAGCCCGAGUAUCAUAUUUGGUUAUUUACUAAAAUCUCCUUUUGGAGGGGAAGGAUGGAUUGUUAGUGUGGACGAUUUAGAAGAUAUAAUUGAAGGACAUGUAUGGUUAGGUUCCAUUUGUAUACUUGGUGGAAUCUAGCAUAUCUUAACCAAACCCUUCGCAUGGGCUCAACGCGCACUUGUAUGGUCUAGAGAGGCUUACUUAUCUUAUAGUUUAGGGACUUUAGCCAUCUUUGGUUUCAUUGCUUGUUGUUUUGUCUGGUUCAAUAAUACCGCUUAUCCUAGUGAAUUUUACGGACCUACUGGACCAGAAGAUUCUCAAGAUCAAGCAUUUACUUUUCUAUUUAGAGACCAAUGCCUUGGGGCUAACAUGGGAUCUGCUUAAGGACCUACUGGUUUAGCUAAAUUUCUAAUGCGUUCCCCAACCGGAGAAGUCAUUUUUGGAGGAGAAACUAUGCAUUUUUGGGAUCUACGUGCUCCAUGGUUAGAGCCUCUAAGGGGUCCAAAUAGGUUAGACUUGAGUACCGAGAUCAGUGCAGUCAAUUAUGUCUCUCCUAGAAGUUGGUUAGCUACCUCUCAUUUUGUUCUAGGAUACUUCUUCUUCGUAGGUCAUUUGUGGCAUGCGGGAAGGGCUCGUGCAACUGCAACAGGAUUUGAAAAAGCAAUUGAUCAUGACCUUGAACCUAUUCUUUUCAUGACCCCUCUUAAUUGAGAUGAGACAGGAGAUCCAAUGCUUGAAUGAAGUACAAAUCACUUUGAUUCAAUCAUACAUCUUGGAAUCAGCUUAAGUAUUCUUUUUUUCUUUUUUUUUUUCCAACUCAUUUUAUCUAAUUUAUAGUGAAUCUAUUUUUUUGGCUUGGAUAGGUGAGAUAGCCGAGCCAUUCCCCUUUCAUUCGGAUAGCAGAUUGGGCGAAACCACUAAAGAAAAAAAUCUAUUCAAUUAGCAAAAAAGGAGAGAGAGGGAUUCAAACCCUCGAUAGUUCUUUGUUCAAAACUAUAUCGGUUUUCAAGAUCGGGGCUAUCAACCACUCAGCCAUCUCUUCAAAAGACUAUUUUUAUUUUAUUCCUCCGAAUAGAACAUGGCUAUAGAGGUGGAUACCCCCACUAUCUGUAGAAAGAUCUCAGGUGCGAACCCACCGGUCGAUCUAUCUAUCUGUAUAUAGAUAUAUGAUCUAGCAUGCCCCUUUGUGAAAUAAAAAAUAAAAUUCCAUUUAUAUCCUCUCUCCGCACCACUCCAUGUACGAAUAUAGUGUGAAAGGGGUAGUAGUAAUAAGUCAUAUAGAAUCAAUGGAUUCAUGAUAAAGUAAAAUCCCUCGAUGACAUAUUUUAUCACAAUUAAUAUUUUUUGGCUGGUAGAGGGAUCAAAUGGUAUAUAGUUCAUUUGUUGGUAGCUUGGAGGAUUAAAAGCAUGACUCUUGCUUUCCAAUUGGCUGUUUUUGCAUUAAUUGCUACUUCAUUAAUCUUAUUGAUUAGCGUACCCGUUGUAUUUGCUUCUCCUGAUGGCUGGUCAAGUAACAAAAAUGUUGUAUUUUCUGGUACAUCCUUAUGGAUUGGAUUAGUCUUUCUGGUGGGUAUCCUUAAUUCUCUCAUCUCUUGAACCUAUUCGUCGCAGACCCAAAAUGCCCCCCUAAUUUUUCUCGGUUGUGAGACACAUUAAAUUUGAAUCUAAGUCCCCAAAGAAAAUGCAAAUCAAAUAAAGAAAACACAAAAAUUAGAGGGGGGUCAAACUUCUUGAAUAAAAAGAAUACAAUUAAAAAAAUAAUUGGAAUCGUUCCGAAGAGAAUAUGUGUCCCGGCACUGCACAAAUAAGAUCCGGUUAUAUAUCAUAUAUGUGGGUACAUAUUGUGUAUCAAGAACAAAAAAAUGCGGAUAUGGUCGAAUGGUAAAAUUUCUCUUUGCCAAGGAGAAGAUGCGGGUUCGAUUCCCGCUAUCCGCCCAAGAUCCAAGAUAAGGUAAUUUUUUUAAUAUUUAUUAUUUAAUUUCAUAAAUAGCAUCAAAUAUAUCAUUAAAUUAAGGAUUUGGUAUAGUUGACCAUGAUAGUGUAGUGAUUCUAUCCCAUCCCUACAUUUUCUUUUGCCUUCCACCCCCCAAAAAGCGAAAGGCAGGAAUUAAUUACUAGUUACUAGAGUCAACCCUAAAAUAGUUUGGAAAAAUAAGAUAUUGCGGAGAUAGGAUUUGAACCCGUGACCUCAAGGUUAUGAGCCUUGCGAGCUACCAAAUUGCUCUACCCCGCGCCAAAGAUAAGAACUGAAAACUACUAGAUAAACAAGGAUAAAAUGUGCCUCUCCACCCUAUCUGUACAAAUAGAAUAGCCCAUUUAUACAGAAUGGUAAAGGGGCUUCUAUGAUCAUCGACCAUAGAAAUAGAAAUGAAGCAUUAAUCCUUACCAACUUGAUCUUGUUGCUCCUGGCAACAAACAUGCAUGAACCAUUUCACGAAGUAUGUGUCCAGAUAGUCCAAAAUCUCGAUAGUUAGCUCUUGGCCUUCUGGUUAAAAAACAACGUCGAUGAAGGUGUGUAGGUGAACUAUUCCGUGGUAGGGAUUGUAACUUUCCAUAAAUUUCCCAU